UACGUAGGGCGCGAGCGUUGUCCGGAAUCAUUGGGCGUAAAGAGCUCGUAGGCGGCCGGUUGCGUCUGCUGUGAAAUCCCGGGGCUUAACCCCGGGCGUGCAGUGGAUACGGGCUGGCUGGAGGCAGGCAGGGGAGAAUGGAAUUCCCGGUGUAGCGGUGAAAUGCGCAGAUAUCGGGAAGAACACCCGUGGCGAAGGCGGUUCUCUGGGACGGUACUGACGCUGAGACGCGAAAGCGUGGGGAGCGAACAGG
rnacentral:rRNA from 1 species